rnacentral:rRNA from 1 species
AACAUUGUCUCAUGAAUAAAAUAUGAGAUAGUACCUGCCCAGUGACAUAUUGUUCAACGGCCGCGGUAUCCUAACCGUGCAAAGGUAGCAUAAUCACUUGCCUAUUAAUUGUAGGCUAGAAUGAAGGGGUUAACGAAAUAAAAACUGUCUCAAUUAAUUAACUAAAAAUUAUUUUCUAUCUGAAGAAAGGUAGAUAAACUCGAAGGACAAGAAGACCCUAUAGAGCUUAAUUUUAACUAUAGAUUAAUCCUAUACAAAUAUUCGGUUGGGGCGACCCAGGGCUAAAUAAUCACCCAAUUUAUAAAAGAUAUAUUAAUCAAACAAGUGACCCUCAUAUGAUCACAAGAACAAGCUACCUUAGGGAUAACAGGCUAAUCCCACUUAAGAGUCCUUAUCAACAGUGGGGAUUGGCACCUCGAUGUUGGCUUAGGGUAUCCAUAUAGCGCAAAAGUUAUAUAAAGACGGUUUGUUCAACCGAUGACACCCUACGUGA